rnacentral:rRNA from 1 species
CCUACGGGAGGCAGCAGUGAGGAAUAUUGGUCAAUGGCCGUAAGGCUGAACCAGCCAAGUCGCGUGAAGGAAGAAGGACCUAUGGUUUGUAAACUUCUUUUAUAGGGGAAUAAAGGUAUCCACGUGUGGAUAUUUGCAUGUACCCUAUGAAUAAGCAUCGGCUAACUCCGUGCCAGCAGCCGCGGUAAUACGGAGGAUGCGAGCGUUAUCCGGAUUUAGUGGGUUUAAAGGGUGCGUAGGUUGUUUUUUAAGUCAGCGGUGAAAGUUUGUGGCUCAACCAUAGAAUUGCCGUUGAAACUGGAAGACUUGAGUGUGUUUGAGGUAGGCGGAAUGCGUGGUGUAGCGGUGAAAUGCAUAGAUAUUACGCAGAACUCCGAUUGCGAAGGCAGCUUACUAGGCCAUAACUGACACUGAAGCACGAAAGCGUGGGGAUCAAACAGGAUUAGAUACCCCAGUAGUC